UGCUUAAAUUGCUUGUUUAGUUUUUAUUUAACUUUGUUACAUGGUAUUUAUCAAGAAAAUUAUAAUUUCUUAAUUUUAUAAUUUGGCAGAGUACAAGUUUUGAAAUCAUGUCCUCAUGAUUCUCUGAAUUUCCUUGCUAGUCCUUUGAGCACCAUGUUGAGAAGAACUGGGGGAUAAUGGACUUCCCUGUCUUAUUCCUGACUUCAGGAUUGGGAUCAGUUAAUCCACACAGACAGGGAAGGCCUGUGGAGAAUAACUCACACACAGGAAACUCGGAGCUCAGCUGUUUCUACUCUACUGUUCUCCUGGAAUUGGGGAAGUUCACUUUUCCAUUUGAUGGCGGUACUUUGUAACAUCAAAGUCAGAGUUGCUUUCUCCUGAUGACAUGAUUAUUAUGGGCCUAGAGGGAAACAACUGAUGAUGCCUCUUCCUUUCAACUGCUUUUUAAAGCCUCAUUGUACACAAUGUUUGUCUUUUG